rnacentral:misc_RNA from 1 species
CGUCAGAUACGAUUUCUUUUUGCGCACGCGCUUUAUCUAUAAAAAAAUCAUCGGCCAUAUUGGUGUGUUGUAUUGUUCGCUCAGUAAUUCUCAAGUUUAAUAAGGUAGGCAGUAUGACCGACUCCAUGAAAUUCGGACCAGAGUGGUUACGCAAUCUAGCUGGAGACAGUUGCAAUUCGGGAGGUAGCGGUGGAGGGACUGCAAACCUGAUUACACCUCGGUAUCAAUUAGCGGAGCAUAGAUAUGGUCGUGAAGAAAUGUUAGCUUUAUUCGAUCGUAAUUGCAAACCGCCAGAAUCUAUCAUGAAUUUGCAGGCUCUUUAUGUUGAAAAAACUCAGCUCCCACUGGCUUUUAUACCUGAAACAGAAGAUGAAACGCGGGCGCGAAGUAAUAUAGGACGUGGAAGAGGAGCAAGUGUUGAUCGUGGUGGACGUAUUAAAAGUGGAAGGGGAGUUAUGUUCUCAUCUCACUAUUCACGUGGUAGUAGUGGUGGUGGAAGUAGUAGUGGUUGUAGUUUCGAUGAUUCUGGAGAUGGAAAUCGUCUUGAUGCACAAUCCUAUCCAGGAAGAAGUCGAACAACUUUUGAUAGAUCACAAAAUGAUCGUGUAGGAUGGUCAGAUCGCAAUGGGAGUUCAGAUACAAGCGAUUGGAAUGGCUCUACUAGUCCGAGAAAAGAACUAUGUAGAGGAGGUACCACCCUUAGUAGUAAUUUUCUAAUGGAAGGUAAUUGGAGGCGUCAUCGAGGUGAUGAUGAAGAAGGUUGGAGAACUACAAGUACUCGGAGUGAAAAGUGGAUUAGAAGCAAUUGGCGCGAUGGGGGUGGCUCUGAGAGAGCCGACGGUGAUGGGGAGGAUAGUCGGGUAUCUGGACGCUGGGAAUCUAGAGGAAGAUCUUCCUCUCACGAUUCGUCCCAUCAUCAUCAUCAUCACCAUCAUCAUCAUCAUCAUCACCCUCCUCCUCCUCGUACUGCUCGAACCUGGGAGUCGUCUAAUCACCAUGAUAAUCAUGAUAAUCUCCCUGAAUGGGCAACGGAAAAUCCGACCGAAAGUGGUGGGAGUUUUGAUGCUUCAGGUGCCUUUCACGGUGGUAUAUUCUCUGAUGAUGAUGAUGACGAUGGGGGUGUUCGUAUUCGUCGUGUUUCUGAAAGUACUCUUAGUACAUCUUCCAAGACUGGAAGUAAAUCUACAUUAUUUCAUAGCAAUAACCAAACGGCUGCUCAUCGUUCAAUUACUAAUCCCAAUAAUGUAUCAAUUAAUUCAUCUUCAAGAGAGAAACUUAAAUCAUUACAUCCGUUUGAUACAGAAGAUAAGGUUGGAGAUAAAAGCUCUUUACCAUCAAUGAACAAAGUAAUGACAACAUCAACUAAUUUUUUAUUGAAAGAAACAUUACCAUCGGCUGCUACUGUUAUUAAUGAUUCAAUAUCAAUUCAUAACAAAUCCUCCAGCUUGGAAAAUUCUUCAAGUUCGUUUACUGAUUCUACUAUUGCUAAUAGUAAUAACAGUAAUAAUUCUACUACUAUAACUACGAUCGCGGCUUCCACUUCUACUUGUACAACAAAUACUACUAUGACUGUUGCUGAAUCAAUGAAAAUCCAACUUCCACAACGUUCUAAAUCAUUUGUUGAAUUAUCAACUAAAAAAAGUAUAUUUACGAGUGUCAGUCAACAAGAUUCUACUAUUCAGCCUGUACAACAAAAUCUUGAGAGAGUUAGCAAUCAGCAGAAUAAUAUUAAUAAAAUUUCUCUUAAUAAUGCUAAUCAAAUGCACGUUCCACCAGAAAAGCCUGAAGAUGAUCUCGAAAUAAUGAAAGAGCAAGCUGUUAGUUUAGUAGCGAAAUUAAUGGCCGAUGAAGAAAAUCAUCAAGAACAAAAUUCACUUAUAUUAACGGCAACAACUACAGCAAUGACUACGACGACAACAGUAACAUCAUCAUCGUCAUCAUUAUCAUCAGCUUCAUCGUCUUCAUCAUCCUCAUCAUCAUCUUCAUCAUCAUCACCAUCAUCAGUAACAAAUCAUGUACAUCCAUUAGUUAAUACAUCGAUUCAGGAAAAAUGGUUUUAUCGAGACCCUCAAGGAGAGGUUCAAGGACCAUUUUUAGCGAGUGAAAUGGCGGAAUGGUGUAAAGCUGGAUACUUUACGCCAAGUUUAUUAGUUAGAAGAACUUGUGAUGAGAGGUAUGCAACCCUCGGAGAUUUAAUGAAAUUAUGUGGUAGAGUACCAUUUGUUCCGGGUCCACCAAUACCUCCAUUAAAAUCGACAGAACCAGUGGUCAUACCACCGAUAACAAAUACUGUAGCCACAGGAAUAUCUGGUAGUGCCUUACCUAAACCAGGAAUAGAGGAUCCUCUUCUCUUGUUACAGUAUCACCAUCAACUACACAUGAUGCAUAAUCGUCAAUUAUUGUUUCGGCAGUUAAAAACUUCUGCUAUAGCUAAACUCUCUCAAACUGAACAUUGGGCAAAUUUAAGUCCUGUUGAGCAAAAUCAAUUAAUAAUGCAAUGUAUAUUGCAAGAUUCUGAGACAAGAGAUUUACCUAUAGUAACGAAUCCUUUUGUACCAACACCUUUAGCACCACCACCAGCAAAUCCUGUUAUGCAACUUUUCAAUCAAAUACAACAGGCUAAGCUACCAAAUGAUAAUCAUCUAAGCUCUCAUUCAUCAAUACCAACAGUACAUCCUGGACCAGCUUUAGAUCCUAUCCAACAGCUUAUUCAACAAAUGGGUGGGAUACAAAAUAUUCCAGUAACACCAACCAUUAAUUCUCCUCCGCCUCCACUUCCUCUUUUAACUCAACCGACUCCAGAAGAAGAUCCAAUUAAAUCAUUACUUCGUCAGCUACAUGUUAGUGCUAAUGGGCACAAUCCACAACCACAUCAGGUGGAUUCAAUUUGGCCACAACAGCAGCCACCUCCUCCACCACCACCCCAAAUGAAUCCAUCACAAUUCAAUGCCCAAAGUUGGUUGACACAGGUUGGACAAAUUCCACCUGGUCAAAUGACCAAUCCAUUAUGGAAUUUACAUACAAAAGAAAUAAAGACUGAGCAACAAAUAUUAGAAGAACAAAAUAUUAGAAUACAAGAAAAUAGAAAAAAAGAAUUAAGAAAGCAAGAAGAACAGAAAAAACAAGUUGAAGAUGAAAAUGCAAGCCGGAAAUUAGAAGAAGAUCAAGCGAAACGAAAUGAGGCUCAGCGUAAAGAAGAAGAACGAAAACGAAAGGAAGAAGAGAAAAAGAUUAAAAAUGAAGAAAAACGUAAACAGCAGCAACAAGAAGAAGAUCAUCAAAAGAAAAAGGAAGAGAAAAAGCGAAAAGAAGAAGAGAAAAAACGUGACGAAAAACGAAAGCAAGAUGAAGAAAUUAAUAGAAAGAAACAAGAAGAAGAAAAGAAAAAACGUGAACAGCUUAAAAAGCAGGAAGAAAAAUUAAGGAAGGAAGAAGAGAAGCGAAAAAAGCAAGCAGAAGAACAGAAACGUAUUGAAGAUGAAAGAUUGAAAAAAGAGGAAGAAAUGCGCAAGAAGGCUGAAGCCGAAGAACAAGCAAAACGUGCUGCUGCAGUUGCUGAGCAAAGACGUCGAGAAGCAGAAGCCCUAAAGAAAUUGCAGGAACGUAGUAGAGCGCCAUGGGCUCAAACUCCUUAUGUAUCAUUACCCACAACUCAUGCUUCUUUAGCAGAAAUUCAAAGAUUAGAACGAGAAAAGAAAGCUGAAGAAUUACGUUUACAACAAAUUAUGCAACAACAAAUAGCUCAACAAAAAACAGCAGAAAUAUCAAAGGAUACAGUAAUUACCUCUGAUUCUUCAUCAAAACGUCAACCAUUUAAAUGGGCUGAAAAAGCUGCUCCUUCAAAUAAUCAACCUCAAGUAAAAAGCUUGGCUCAAAUUCAACAAGAAGAGCAAGAGAAAAUAGCUAAAGUUAAACAACAAGAAAAAGAGCGUUAUGAAAAAGCAGCUGUAAAUCAGAAAGAUACAUCAACUGUAAUUCAAAAUGCUGGAAUUUGGGGAAGUGCAUCUCAAUCUCUUAAUUGGGCUAAUACUGUCAAUUCGUCGACAUGUGAUAAUACUAAGAUUAGCAACAAAGCUUGGUCUAGUGGUGGAGGAUUAUGGGAUGAUCCUGUUACUUCUUCUAUUAAACAACAACCAUUAAUUUCAACUAAACUGCAAGUAAAACCAGUAGCAACAACAAAACCAGUGGCUGUUCAACAACCACAACCAAAUAACAACAAUACUACUAAUAACAAUAAUACUAAUAAUAGUAUGAAUAAUAAAGUAGCAAAAAAUAAAGUCAAAAAAGAAGAAGAACUGGUAAAAAAAUUAUUUGAGAAUAACACUGCCAAAGUCGAUGAAUUUACACAAUGGUGUAAUCGUACUUUAAAUGGACUUCAAGUAUCUGUUGAUAUUCCGACAUUCGUUGGCUUUUUGAGAGAUAUUGAAUCAGCGUAUGAAGUUAAAGAAUAUGUGAGAAUGUAUCUUGGAGAUAGUAAACAAUGUACAGAGUUUGCUAAGCAAUUUUUAGAAAAACGUAGUAAAUGGCGAUCAGCUCAACGUCCACAAGUAGAAGCUGAUGAUCUUUGCAAACCAGCACCUGCUGUUAAUCCAAAUAAUACCACAGAAUUUCAAGAAGUUAAGGGUAAAUCAAAGAAGCCAAAAAAAGGGAAAAUGUUCAAAGUUGACAAUAGGAUUCUUGGAUUCAGUGUUACUGCGGCUACUGAUCGUAUUAAUGUUGGCGAUCGUGAUUAUGGAGAAGGAGUUUAAACAUUAUGCUCUAUAGUUGAAUAAAACAUAUAAAAAGAAAGAGAAAGAGACAGUGACAGCUUUAACGUAUUGAAAUAUGUACGUACGUGAACGAGGAUUCCAUGUUUAUAAUGAAAAAAAUAUUUAAAUAAAAAUCAUGUAAAUAUUAUUUAAAUGGAAAUAUCUAACUAACUAUACAUCAUUUUUACAAAUGAAGAUACCAUUAUCACAAUCAUUAUUAUUAUUAUACUGUUAAAUAUUAUUAAUUAAAACUUCACACUUAAUAUUAAAUUGAUUCAGCUUAUGGAAUGCAAUUAAUAUAAGUAGUACAUGAAAUAAUUAUAUUAAUAUCAAUCAAUUUUAAAUCUUGUAAAGACCAUCGAAUGCUCUUGAUCUCUACUUAAGAUCGUUGUUUUUUUUUAUUCUCUGAUGUUAUGAUCUGUGACGUUGAUACAACAUAGGAACAAAUUCUGAAAUUAAUUGUUCGAAUUAUCAAUUAUAUGAUUACUUAUUAUUCUCAAUUAGAGAUAAUAUGAAUUUUCUAAAAUACAUGGUUUGUUCAAGUACCCACACAUGUUCUGCCAGAUUCUUUUAGGUAAUCAAUCAUUCACGUGAAUCGCAGAAGAAAUUUUUCAAAUAUAUUUUUGAUGUAAAAAAAAAAAUUAAAGAAAAACUUUUAAUACCACAA